rnacentral:rRNA from 1 species
UACGAGGGGGGGCAAAUGUUGUUCGGAAUCACUGGGCGUAAAGGGAGCGUAGGCGGGUUUCUAAGUCAGGUGUUUAAUCCCGGGGCCCAACCCCGGACAGGCACUUGAAACUGGGAAUCUUGAAUAGUGGAGAGGUCAGUGGAAUUGGGGGUGUAGCGGUGGAAUGCGUAGAUAUCUGAAGGAACACCAGUGGCGAAAGCGGCUUCCUGGUUCAGCACCGACGUCAGGCACGAAAGCGUGGGGAGCAAACAGG